UCUUUGACACACUGACAGAUAUCACAGAUUAGAAAGAUAGGCAGGAAACAGACAGAUAAACACUUAUUAAUAGACAACCAGACUCGGUUAAAGUUUAAUCGUACAAUGGAUUAAACUAAGAAACAACACUAAUUUCAAGGUAAGAAAUAUUUUAAUCUAUAAAUAAAAUAAGUGUACUAUUGCCAAAUUCAAAUACAUAAAUUUAAUCAUACCACCCUCUUAAGUCCCACGGCCGCCAUAUCGCGUCCAAAAUUACAAUCAAAAUUCAUCAUAGAUGUAAAUUCUAACAUUGUUUUAGCUGGCAAUUUAGAACUCUGGUAGCGAUUAGCAAGGUAAGUGAUUAGAAACAUAGGUUAUGCUAUUGUUUAAAAUGUGACUGUUUUGUUUUAGAGGGUGAACGUGAGAAAAUAAUCCUUAGCCGUCAUAUAAUUUCCUCGGAAAGGCUCAAAAUCAAAAGGCACGGAUCCGCCGCAUAAUUCCGUCAGUAGUUUCCCAGUGACCAUCAACAAGACAGCUGCACUGAGCUGUGGAGCAGAAAUAGGCUGACAGUUGACUUGAUGUAAACUUGACAGAAUAAAUAGCACUGACGUUUUCUUUCUCUUCGUUGGCAAUGAUUUGCGAAACAAACUCCAUACAAAACUUUUCUUGUGCCUAGUUGCGUCAGCCUGCUCUCAUCUAUGGCGCUUUGUGACAUUUGAUUAACAUGCCAAAUGUAGCUAAAUCAAGAUUUUCCGCGUAUCUUGUUAAAAUUGUUGUAUUCUUUUAACAAGUAUUUGCUAAAACGUAAUAUUCAGAAUCACAGUGACCUGUCACUGAUAUAUCAUUCUGCCAGAGUGAUUUACGAAUACGUUUUACCAGAAUGAUUCUGGUAAAACGUAUUAAAACAUGUUAGAACAUUCAUAUUAUACGAGUACGCCAACGGCAACGGUUGCAAUGGAUUGCGAAUUUCCCAAGGAGUUUCUUGUUUCAAACCUGGUGACUGUAAAGCAGGAGCCGUCAUGCGAGGUCAUCUCUGACAUAGGACAUGUUGAGCGGGGUGUACCCAUGAAGCUGAAGGACUGCUGUGUGCGGCUCGAGCGGAUUUCCGUGGACAAUGUUGAAAAUGAUGAUUAUUAUGUUGCAGGUGAGCGAUGUUUUUUAAUAUACCGGGUCUCCGGUAAUUAAUGGAUGUUCUUACUUUUUUAUUUUUCUAAAUUUUUAUUUUUAUUGAUUACUAUAUAAAUUUAAGAAUUGAAUUAUAACAUAUUAUAAUAUUUGUACGUCAUUAGUUACGUCUUUUGGGUCACUUUUAAAACCCUGGUUUUAUGGCACCUUAUUACCUAUUUACAAUUAAUUUUUUUAGUCCAGCACUCAAUUAAAUGGAUCUAGUGAGAAUAACCCGAUAUAACCGGUAGUCAAUUAAAUUACUGCCCGUUAUAUCGGGUUAUUCUCACUAGGUACCACCAAGUUGUUACCCGUGGUAACUAUUGGGAUUUUUUUCCCACCUUUUACCAGUGGUAACCUUGAAAAAAAAAUCCACUAGUUACCAUCAAAAACUUGUUAGCGUUCAAUAUUAAUAAAAAAAGUAUAAAUAUUGAGUGCUCUAAUGAAUACCUAAUUAAUUAAAAGUAGAAUUAAUUAUAAGUUUUAGUUAUUAGUUUAAUUAUAAGUCGAUUACUGUUUCAGUAAACUGCCUUAAAAGUGAUCAAAAAUAGCCGGUCUUUGACUGAUUUGUUUGUUCGUUCGUAUAAUUGUGACGUUAUUUAUUGAAAGGGACCUUAUUGUCGAUAGCGCUUACGCCAUUAUCAGCGAUACAUCUAUAUAAAUACAACGCUGCUCUACGCAGUGCGGCGUAAGCGCCCCCGACAAAAGAUCCAGUCUUCAUAGAUAACGUCACAAUUCAUUC